GAGGUCUCUGGUUCAAGUCCAGGAUGGCCCA
rnacentral:tRNA from 1 species